GAAGAGAGACAAUUCCUCGCCUCCCCCCAGCCCUCCACGGUUCCUGCCUGACCACCAUCACCUACACAUGCAACUCCAACCCCUUUGUUCCCAAGAUAUUUGUACAGAAUGUAGAGGGGCUUUUGGAGGCGUUCAGUUUACCGCUGGAGUAAUGUUAUGUGCAAUGAAUUCUGAGUUUCAACAAAUGAUUCUACUUAAGAAAAGUAAUCAUCAGAUGAGCCACGGACCUGGAUCACGUGUAGACUUUGGACUCAGUAGGCAUGGCACACUGGUCUGGACAGAAGAGGGUGCUUCUCACCAGAGGUCCCUGGUCUGGGGCUCUGGGUGCCUUGGCACUGCCCAGAGGCUAGUACCUUCGGGCAUGGACAGCUGCCUUACUGAUAUGCCACCACCCAACACUUAGGAGGCUGUUGGUACAAAAAGGCCAGAAAAUGGAAUGAAAAGAUUCCACAUAUGUGACAUCAUACAGUAUUUAUCUUUUUCU